GAUGAACGCUGGCGGCGUGCCUAAUACAUGCAAGUCGAGCGAACAGACGAGGAGCUUGCUCCUCUGACGUUAGCGGCGGACGGGUGAGUAACACGUGGAUAACCUACCUAUAAGACUGGGAUAACUUCGGGAAACCGGAGCUAAUACCGGAUAAUAUAUUGAACCGCAUGGUUCAAUAGUGAAAGACGGUUUUGCUGUCACUUAUAGAUGGAUCCGCGCCGCAUUAGCUAGUUGGUAAGGUAACGGCUUACCAAGGCAACGAUGCGUAGCCGACCUGAGAGGGUGAUCGGCCACACUGGAACUGAGACACGGUCCAGACUCCGACGGGAGGCAGCAGUAGGGAAUCUUCCGCAAUGGGCGAAAGCCUGACGGAGCAACGCCGCGUGAGUGAGGAAGGUCUGCGGAUCGUAAAACUCUGUUAUUAGGGAAGAACAAAUGUGUAAGUAACUAUGCACGUCUUGACGGUACCUAAUCAGAAAGCCACGGCUAACUACGU
rnacentral:rRNA from 1 species